rnacentral:rRNA from 1 species
UACGGGGGGGGGUAAGCGUUGUUCGGAAUUACUGGGCGUAAAGGGCUCGUAGGCGGCCAACUAAGUCAUACGUGAAAUCCCUCAGCUUAGCUGGGGAACUGCGUGUGAUACUGGAUGGCUUGGAUUUGGGAGAGGGAUGCGGAAUUCCAGGUGUAGCGGUGAAAUGCGUAGAUAUCUGGAGGAACACCGGUGGCGAAGGCGGCAUCCUGGACCAAUAUUGACGCUGAGGAGCGAAAGCCAGGGGAGCAAACGGG